rnacentral:rRNA from 1 species
UUAAGCGACUAAGCGUACACGGUGGAUGCCCUGGCAGUCAGAGGCGAUGAAGGACGUGCUAAUCUGCGAAAAGCGCCGGCGAGGUGAUAUGAACCUUUGACCCGGCGAUGUCCGAAUGGGGAAACCCAGUGUGUUCCGACACACUAUCGUUAACUGAAUACAUAGGUUAACGAGGCGAACCGGGGGAACUGAAACAUCUAAGUACCCCGAGGAAAAGAAAUCAACCGAGAUUCCCCCAGUAGCGGCGAGCGAACGGGGAGCAGCCCGGAGUCUGAAUCAGCUUGUGUGUUAGUGGAACGGUCUGGAAAGUCCGACGGUACAGGGUGAUAGUCCCGUACACGAAAAUGCACAUGCUGUGAACUCGAAGAGUAGGGCGGGACACGUGGUAUCCUGUCUGAAUAUGGGGGGACCAUCCUCCAAGGCUAAAUACUCCUGACUGACCGAUAGUGAACCAGUACCGUGAGGGAAAGGCGAAAAGAACCCCGGCGAGGGGAGUGAAAAAGAACCUGAAACCGUGUACGUACAAGCAGUGGGAGCACCUUCGGGUGUGACUGCGUACCUUUUGUAUAAUGGGUCAGCGACUUAUAUUCUGUAGCAAGGUUAACCGUAUAGGGGAGCCGAAGGGAAACCGAGUCUUAACUGGGCGUCAAGUUGCAGGGUAUAGACCCGAAACCCGGUGAUCUAGCCAUGGGCAGGUUGAAGGUUGGGUAACACUAACUGGAGGACCGAACCGACUAAUGUUGAAAAAUUAGCGGAUGACCUGUGGCUGGGGGUGAAAGGCCAAUCAAACCGGGAGAUAGCUGGUUCUCCCCGAAAGCUAUUUAGGUAGCGCCUCGUGAACUCAUCUUCGGGGGUAGAGCACUGUUUCGGCUAGGGGGCCAUCCCGGCUUACCAACCCGAUGCAAACUACGAAUACCGAAGAAUGUUAUCACGGGAGACACACGGCGGGUGCUAACGUCCGUCGUGAAGAGGGAAACAACCCAGACCGCCAGCUAAGGUCCCAAAGUCAUGGUUAAGUGGGAAACGAUGUGGGAAGGCACAGACAGCCAGGAUGUUGGCUUAGAAGCAGCCAUCAUUUAAAGAAAGCGUAAUAGCUCACUGGUCGAGUCGGCCUGCGCGGAAGAUGUAACGGGGCUAAACCAUGCACCGAAGCUGCGGCAGCGACACUAUGUGUUGUUGGGUAGGGGAGCGUUCUGUAAGCCGUUGAAGGUGUGCUGUGAGGCAUGCUGGAGGUAUCAGAAGUGCGAAUGCUGACAUAAGUAACGAUAAAGCGGGUGAAAAGCCCGCUCGCCGGAAGACCAAGGGUUCCUGUCCAACGUUAAUCGGGGCAGGGUGAGUCGACCCCUAAGGCGAGGCCGAAAGGCGUAGUCGAUGGGAAACAGGUUAAUAUUCCUGUACUUGGUGUUACUGCGAAGGGGGGACGGAGAAGGCUAUGUCAGCCGGGCGACGGUUGUCCCGGUUUAAGCAUGUAGGCGGAGGUUCCAGGUAAAUCCGGUACCUUGUUAACGCUGAGGUGUGAUGACGAGGCACUACGGUGCUGAAGUGAUAAAUGCCCUGCUUCCAGGAAAAGCCUCUAAGCAUCAGGUAACACGAAAUCGUACCCCAAACCGACACAGGUGGUCAGGUAGAGAAUACCAAGGCGCUUGAGAGAACUCGGGUGAAGGAACUAGGCAAAAUGGUGCCGUAACUUCGGGAGAAGGCACGCUGAUAUGUAGGUGAAGUCCCUGCGGACGGAGCUGAAAUCAGUCGAAGAUACCAGCUGGCUGCAACUGUUUAUUAAAAACACAGCACUGUGCAAACACGAAAGUGGACGUAUACGGUGUGACGCCUGCCCGGUGCCGGAAGGUUAAUUGAUGGGGUUAGCGGCAACGCGAAGCUCUUGAUCGAAGCCCCGGUAAACGGCGGCCGUAACUAUAACGGUCCUAAGGUAGCGAAAUUCCUUGUCGGGUAAGUUCCGACCUGCACGAAUGGCGUAAUGAUGGCCAGGCUGUCUCCACCCGAGACUCAGUGAAAUUGAACUCGCUGUGAAGAUGCAGUGUACCCGCGGCAAGACGGAAAGACCCCGUGAACCUUUACUAUAGCUUGACACUGAACACUGGUCCUUGAUGUGUAGGAUAGGUGGGAGGCUUUGAAGCGUGGACGCCAGUCUGCGUGGAGCCAUCCUUGAAAUACCACCCUUUAAUGGCUGGUGUUCUAACGUAGACCCGUGAUCCGGGUUGCGGACAGUGUCUGGUGGGUAGUUUGACUGGGGCGGUCUCCUCCCAAAGAGUAACGGAGGAGCACGAAGGUUGGCUAAUCCUGGUCGGACAUCAGGAGGUUAGUGCAAUGGCAUAAGCCAGCUUGACUGCGAGCGUGACGGCGCGAGCAGGUGCGAAAGCAGGUCAUAGUGAUCCGGUGGUUCUGAAUGGAAGGGCCAUCGCUCAACGGAUAAAAGGUACUCCGGGGAUAACAGGCUGAUACCGCCCAAGAGUUCAUAUCGACGGCGGUGUUUGGCACCUCGAUGUCGGCUCAUCACAUCCUGGGGCUGAAGUAGGUCCCAAGGGUAUGGCUGUUCGCCAUUUAAAGUGGUACGCGAGCUGGGUUUAGAACGUCGUGAGACAGUUCGGUCCCUAUCUGCCGUGGGCGCUGGAGAAUUGAGGGGGGCUGCUCCUAGUACGAGAGGACCGGAGUGGACGCAUCACUGGUGUUCGGGUUGUCAUGCCAAUGGCACUGCCCGGUAGCUAAAUGCGGAAGAGAUAAGUGCUGAAAGCAUCUAAGCACGAAACUUGCCCCGAGAUGAGUUCUCCCUGAGACCUUGAGUCUCCUGAAGGAACGUUGAAGACGACGACGUUGAUAGGUCGGGUGUGUAAGCGCAGCGAUGCGUUGAGCUAACCGAUACUAAUGAACCGUGAGGCUUAACCUU